rnacentral:lncRNA from 1 species
UAGACUUGUAUUUAUGAGUAGUACCAAAGUCUUUUGCUGAAUAACCUUUAAUACAACUACAUGGGUUCUUAGCUGUGGUAUAAAUCUUUAUUAUCCGUGAAAUAGGUAAUAAUUUCUUUGGAGGCAAAUAAGUGCUAAAUUAAUUAUAGCAGCAGUUCAUAAAUACCAGUAAUACUAAUUGCACAAUAAAACAUGACUAAAUAAGACUGAAAU